CAGUAGCCGCGGUAAUACGGAGGGGGCUAGCGUUGUUCGGAAUUACUGGGCGUAAAGCGCACGUAGGCGGCUUGGUAAGUUAGAGGUGAAAGCCUGGAGCUCAACUCCAGAAUUGCCUUUAAGACUGCCGAGCUAGCAGGUGAGAGAGGUAAGUGGAAUUCCGAGUGUAGAGAUGAAAUUCGUAGAUAUUCGGAAGAACACCAGUGGCGAAGGCGGCUUACUGGCUCAUACUGGACGCUGAGGUGCGAAAGCGUGGGGAGCAAACAGGAUUAGAGACCCGGGUAGUCCCUGUCUCUUAUAC
rnacentral:rRNA from 1 species